UAGGGAAUCUUCCACAAUGGGCGAAAGCCUGAUGGAGCAACGCCGCGUGUGUGACGAAGGGUUUCGGCUCGUAAAACACUGUUGUAAGAGAAGAAUGACAUUGAGAGUAACUGUUCAAUGUGUGACGGUAUCUUACCAGAAAGGAACGGCUAAAUACGUGCCAG
rnacentral:rRNA from 1 species